UACGUAGGGGGCUAGCGUUGUCCGGAAUCAUUGGGCGUAAAGCGCGUGUAGGCGGCCCGGUAAGUCCGCUGUGAAAGUCGGGGGGCUCAACCCUCGAAUGCCGGUGGAUACUGUCGGGCUAGAGUACGGAAGAGGAGAGUGGAAUUCCUGGUGUAGCGGUGAAAUGCGCAGAUAUCAGGAAGAACACCCGUGGCGAAAGCGGCUCUCUGGAACGGUACUGACGCUGAGACGCGAAAGCGUGGGGAGCGAACAGG
rnacentral:rRNA from 1 species